ACGAAGGGUGCAAGCGUUACUCGGAAUUACUGGGCGUAAAGCGUGCGUAGGUGGUUCGUUAAGUCUGAUGUGAAAGCCCUGGGCUCAACCUGGGAAUUGCAUUGGAUACUGGCGGGCUAGAGUACGGUAGAGGGUAGUGGAAUUCCUGGUGUAGCAGUGAAAUGCGUAGAGAUCAGGAGGAACAUCCGUGGCGAAGGCGACUACCUGGACCAGUACUGACACUGAGGCACGAAAGCGUGGGGAGCAAACAG
rnacentral:rRNA from 1 species